AUCAGAACAGAACACAAUCUUCAUCAUCACACAAGACACAACAACAACAAUGAACAACAUCAUCAUCCUCAUCUGGACUCUCACACUGUUUGCUCAAGAGUGUAGAGGACAGUACACUGUAACUCAGAGUCCAUCAUUAAUAACAGCAGCUCAAGGACAAGACGUCAGAAUAAACUGUAAAGCCAGCAGUAGUGUGUGUGGUAGUAAUUAUUUAGCCUGGUACUUACAGAAACCUGGAGAAGCUCCUAAACUCCUCAUAUCUUACGCAACAAGCCGUUACACUGGAACUCCUUCUCGAUUCAGUGGCAGUGGAUCUGGCAGUGAUUUCACUCUGACCAUCAGUGGAGUCCAGACUGAAGAUACAGGAGAUUAUUACUGUCAGAGUGUACACUGUCCUAGUAGCUGGGUGUUCACACAGUGAUAAAGAGUCGAACAAAAACCUCCUUCAGUCAGAGUCACAGUGACUGCACUGAUACAGCUGAGAGACACUGCAGCUGCUGAUGAGAGGAUCACAAACAACACAAUGACUUCAAGUAACACAUUUUCCAGAGAUUACGGCAUACGGACAUUAAUAUGAGCUUUAUUUAUUUAUUUACCUACAUUAACAUUUGAAUA